rnacentral:rRNA from 1 species
UACAGAGGUCUCAAGCGUUGUUCGGAUUCAUUGGGCGUAAAGGGUGCGUAGGUGGCGGGGUAAGUCAGGUGUGAAAUCUCGAGGCUCAACCUCGAAACUGCACUUGAUACUGCCUUGCUCGAGUACUGGAGAGGAGAUUGGAAUUUACGGUGUAGCAGUGAAAUGCGUAGAUAUCGUAAGGAAGACCAGUGGCGAAGGCGAGUCCCUGGACAGUUCCUGACGCUGAGGCACGAAGGUCAGGGGAGCAAACGGG